CCCAGGUUAGCUCAGUUGGUAGAGCGCUCCACUGGAAAUGAAGAGGUCCUGGGUUAGACACCCGGACCAAGCG
rfam:Ixodes scapularis strain Wikel colony gcontig_1108378835356, whole genome shotgun sequence.